AACGAACGCUGGCGGCAGGCUUAACACAUGCAAGUCGAACGCCCCGCAAGGGGAGUGGCAGACGGGUGAGUAACGCGUGGGAAUCUACCCAGUUCUACGGAACAACUGAGGGAAACUUCAGCUAAUACCGUAUACGCCCUACGGGGGAAAGAUUUAUCGGAAUUGGAUGAGCCCGCGUAAGAUUAGCUAGUUGGUGGGGUAAUGGCCUACCAAGGCGACGAUCUUUAGCUGGUCUGAGAGGAUGAUCAGCCACACUGGGACUGAGACACGGCCCAGACUCCUACGGGAGGCAGCAGUGGGGAAUAUUGGACAAUGGGCGCAAGCCUGAUCCAGCCAUGCCGCGUGAGUGAUGAAGGCCUUAGGGUUGUAAAGCUCUUUCAGUGGGGACGAUAAUGACGGUACCCACAGAAGAAGCCCCGGCUAACUUCGUGCCAGCAGCCGCGGUAAUACGAAGGGGGCUAGCGUUGUUCGGAUUUACUGGGCGUAAAGCGCACGUAGGCGGAUCGUUAAGUCGGGGGUGAAAUCCUGGAGCUCAACUCCAGAACUGCCUUCGAUACUGGCGAUCUUGAGUCCGGAAGAGGUGAGUGGAACUCCUAGUGUAGAGGUGGAAUUCGUAGAUAUUAGGAAGAACACCAGUGGCGAAGGCGGCUCACUGGUCC
rnacentral:rRNA from 1 species